CAGCCGCCGCGGUAAUACCGGCGGCCCGAGUGGCGGCCACUAUUAUUGGGCUUAAAGCGUCCGUAGCCGGGUUGGUUAGUCUCCCGGGAAAUCUGGCCGCUUAACGGUCAGAAUUCCGGGAGAUACUGCCAGCCUAGGGACCGGGAGAGGCCGAGGGUAUUCCCGGAGUAGGGGUGAAAUCCUAUAAUCCCGGGAGGACCACCUGUGGCGAAGGCGCUCGGCUGGAACGGGUCCGACGGUGAGGGACGAAGGCCAGGGGAGCAAACCGGAUUAGAUACCCGGGUAGUCCUGGCUGUAAACGAUGCGGACUUUGUGUCGGACAAGCUAUGAGCUUGUCCGGUGCCGGAGGGAAACCGUUAAGUCCGCCGCCUGGGGAGUACGGCCGCAAGGCUGAAACUUAAAGGAGUUGGCGGG
rnacentral:rRNA from 1 species